rnacentral:rRNA from 1 species
AUUGAACGCUGGCGGCAUGCCUUACACAUGCAAGUCGAACGGCAGCGGGGACUUCGGUCCGCCGGCGAGUGGCGAACGGGUGAGUAAUGUAUCGGAACGUACCAUUCAGUGGGGGAUGACUAUCCGAAAGGAUAGCUAAUACCGCAUAUUCUGUGAGCAGGAAAGCAGGGGAUCGCAAGACCUUGCGCUGAUUGAGCGGCCGAUAUCAGAUUAGCUAGUUGGUGAGGUAAAGGCUCACCAAGGCGACGAUCUGUAGCGGGUCUGAGAGGAUGAUCCGCCACACUGGAACUGAGACACGGUCCAGACUCCUACGGGAGGCAGCAGUGGGGAAUUUUGGACAAUGGGGGCAACCCUGAUCCCGCCAUGCCGCGUGAGUGAAGAAGGCCUUCGGGUUGUAAAGCUCUUUCGGCCGGGAAAAAAUCGCAUGGGUUAAUACCCUGUGUGGAUGAUGGUACCGGAAUAAGAAGCACCGGCUAACUACGUGCCAGCCGCCGCCGUAACAC